UUGGUGCUUGCAUCAUGAUUUACAUUUGAGUGAGUGGCGAACUGGUGAGUAACACGUGGGAAACCUGCCCAGAAGCGGGGGAUAACACCUGGAAACAGAUGCUAAUACCGCAUAACAACUUGGACCGCAUGGUCCGAGUUUGAAAGAUGGCUUCGGCUAUCACUUUUGGAUGGUCCCGCGGCGUAUUAGCUAGAUGGUGAGGUAACGGCUCACCAUGGCAAUGAUACGUAGCCGACCUGAGAGGGUAAUCGGCCACAUUGGGACUGAGACACGGCCCAAACUCCUACGGGAGGCAGCAGUAGGGAAUCUUCCACAAUGGACGAAAGUCUGAUGGAGCAACGCCGCGUGAGUGAAGAAGGGUUUCGGCUCGUAAAACUCUGUUGUUAAAGAAGAACAUAUCUGAGAGUAACUGUUCAGGUAUUGACGGUAUUUAACCAGAAAGCCACGGCUAACUACGUGCCAGCAGCCGCGGUAAUACGUAGGUGGCAAGCGUUGUCCGGAUUUAUUGGGCGUAAAGCGAGCGCAGGCGGUUUUUUAAGUCUGAUGUGAAAGCCUUCGGCUCAACCGAAGAAGUGCAUCGGAAACUGGGAAACUUGAGUGCAGAAGAGGACAGUGGAACUCCAUGUGUAGCGGUGAAAUGCGUAGAUAUAUGGAAGAACACCAGUGGCGAAGGCGGCUGUCUGGUCUGUAACUGACGCUGAGGCUCGAAAGUAUGGGUAGCAAACAGGAUUAGAUACCCUGGUAGUCCAUACCGUAAACGAUGAAUGCUAAGUGUUUGGAGGGUUUCCGCCCUUCAGUGCUGCAGCUAACGCAUUAAGCAUUCCGCCUGGGGAGUACGGCCGCAAGGCUGAAACUCAAAGGAAUUGACGGGGGCCCGCACAAGCGGUGGAGCAUGUGGUUUAAUUCGAAGCUACGCGAAGAACCUUACCAGGUCUUGACAUACUAUGCAAAUCUAAGAGAUUAGACGUUCCCUUCGGGGACAUGGAUACAGGUGGUGCAU
rnacentral:rRNA from 2 species